rnacentral:lncRNA from 1 species
UCACAGUGAAACUUAAAUUUCGUUUCUGAUUUGUGUAAUUUGCACUAUUUCUAUGAACGCAAAACCUAAAUGCAUAGAACCUUCAUAAGUGACCAAAAUUAUAUUUGUGGUUUGUUCAUGGUAUAUGUUAGCAAAAUUGCUACAUGAAUGUUUUCUUUUUUUCGAGGAAUGAUUGAUUUUUUAAAUUUAAAAAAAUUUCGAUGCAAUAAAAAUAGGUGGUGCUUAACUUU